GAUGAACGCUGGCGGCGUGCCUAAUACAUGCAAGUCGAGCGAACAGACGAGGAGCUUGCUCCUCUGACGUUAGCGGCGGACGGGUGAGUAACACGUGGAUAACCUACCUAUAAGACUGGGAUAACUUCGGGAAACCGGAGCUAAUACCGGAUAAUAUAUUGAACCGCAUGGUUCAAUAGUGAAAGACGGUUUUGCUGUCACUUAUAGAUGGAUACGCGCCGCAUUAGCUAGUUGGUAAGGUAACGGCUUACCAAGGCGACGAUGCGUAGCCGACCUGAGAGGGUGAUCGGCCACACUGGAACUGAGACACGGUCCAGACUCCUACGGGAGGCAGCAGUAGGGAAUCUUCCGCAAUGGGCGAAAGCCUGACGGAGCAACGCCGCGUGAGUGAUGAAGGUCUUCGGAUCGUAAAACUCUGUUAUUAGGGAAGAACAAAUGUGUAAGUAACUAUGCACGUCUUGACGGUACCUAAUCAGAAAGCCACGGCUAACUACGUG
rnacentral:rRNA from 1 species